rnacentral:rRNA from 1 species
GAUGAACGCUAGCGACAGGCCUAACACAUGCAAGUCGAGGGGCAUCGGGACGUAGCAAUACGUUGCCGGCGACCGGCGGAUGGGUGAGUAACGCGUAUGCAACCUACCCGUAGCAGGGGGAUAGCCCGUUGAAAGACGGAUUAAUACCCCGUAACACAGGGGCUCCGCAUGGAGAUUAUUGUUAAAGGGUCAUUUCUUUUUCAGGGAUGGUCCGGCUGCGGAUGGGCAUGCGUUCCAUUAGGUAGUUGGUUGAGGUAACGGCUCACCAAGCCUGCGAUGGAUAGGGGAACUGAGAGGUUGGUCCCCCACACUGGUACUGAGACACGGACCAGACUCCUACGGGAGGCAGCAGUGAGGAAUCUUGGUCAAUGGACGGAAGUCUGAACCAGCCAUGUCGCGUGAAGGAGGACGGCCCUAAGGGUUAUAAACUUCUUUUGCAGGGGAAUAAAGUAUUCCACGAGAUGGGAUAUUGCAAGUACGCUGCGAAUAAGGAUCGGCUAACUCCGUGCCAGC